rnacentral:rRNA from 1 species
CCUACGGGGGGCAGCAGUGGGGGAUAUUGCACAAUGGGGGAAACCCUGAUGCAGCGACGCCGCGUGAGCGAUGAAGUAUUUCGGUAUGUAAAGCUCUAUCAGCAGGGAAGAAAAUGACGGUACCUGACUAAGAAGCCCCGGCUAACUACGUGCCAGCAGCCGCGGUAAUACGUAGGGGGCAAGCGUUGUCCGGAAUUACUGGGUGUAAAGGGAGCGCAGGCGGGAAGCCAAGGCAG